rnacentral:rRNA from 1 species
GAUGAACGCUGGCGGCGUGCCUAAUACAUGCAAGUCGAGCGAACAGACGAUAAGCUUGCUCCUCUGACGUUAGCGGCGGACGGGUGAGUAACACGUAGAUAACCUACCUAUAUUACUUGGAUAACUUCGGGAAACCGGUGCUAAUACCGGCUAAUAUAUUCAACCGCAUGGUUCAAUAGUUCAUGACGGCUUUGCUGUCACUUUUAGAUGGAUUCGCGUCGCCUUAUCUACUUGGUAAGGUAACGGCCUACCAACGCUACGGUGCGUAGCCGACCUGAUGGGGGUAUCAGCCAAACUGGAACUGAGAAACGGUCCAAAAUCCUAAGGGAGGGAAGAGUGAGGAAAAUUGCCGAAAGGGCGGAAGGCUGAACGGACCAAAGCGCGUGGGGGAAGAAGGGCUUCGGGUUGGAAAACCCUUUUGAUGGGGAAAAAAAAAAGGGGGAAAAAACCAGGCAGUUCUGAAGGUAACCAAAGAAGAAGGCAAGGCUAAAUUAGGG